rnacentral:rRNA from 1 species
GAUGAACGCUGGCGGCGUGCCUAAUACAUGCAAGUCGAGCGAACAGACGAGGAGCUUGCUCCUCUGACGUUAGCGGCGGACGGGUGAGUAACACGUGGAUAACCUACCUAUAAGACUGGGAUAACUUCGGGAAACCGGAGCUAAUACCGGAUAAUAUAUUGAACCGCAUGGUUCAAUAGUGAAAGACGGUUUUGCUGGCACUUAUAGAUGGAUUCGCGCCGCAUUAGCUAGUUGGUAAGGUAACGGCUUACCAAGGCAACGAUGCGUAGCCGACCUGAGAGGGUGAUCGGCCACACUGGAACUGAGACACGGUCCAGACUCCUACGGGAGGCAGCAGUAGGGAAUCUUCCGCAAUGGGCGAAAGCCUGACGGAGCAACGCCGCGUGAGUGAUGAAGGUCUUCGGAUCGUAAAACUCUGUUAUUAGGGAAGAACAAAUGUGUAAGUAACUAUGCACGUCUUGACGGUACCUAAUCAGAAAGCCACGGCUAACUACGUG